AUGUUCUCUCAGACUCUGGGUAAAUUCAGUUUUUAGUUUCAAACUUUAAUGUAAAUGUUUUAAAAAAAACAUAAAACAAAGGAGAAUCUGCAGUUCCUGUAUCAGCCAGGAGGCGUCACUGUUUGUUCGUGUAUGGAAAUAGAUUUUUCAGAAAUGAUUAAUUUAAAAUUAAAACAUAGAUCAGACCAAGUUGUCAGGGGAGAAUCUACAUGGACCCCAUGUUGCUGAACAGAACCAGUGAGACCCCCCACCGCCACGCUGAAUAAGGUGUGGGCGGAAGUCUGAGCUGGAAAUGAAGGAAGAGACUAGCAGUUUCUGUCCAACAGGUUCCAGAAACAUGAGGAGUUCACUGACAUCCGUUGAACAUAGUUCUGUCCUCCACCUAAAUGACUGUCUGUUCAUUCCUGAAACACGCUGAGGUCACAUGACCUCCAUCUAGGAAGUGAAAGAUAUUACAACUAAAAUUAGCUCAGUCCAAGAAGACAUAUGAACAAGAAGAAAACAUAAUAAAAUAUUUGAUAUAUGAAUAAAAGCAUAGUAAAUAUUUUAAUUCAUAAAUGGGACAAUUAUAAAAUGUUAUGCAAAUCUGACACUAAAAACAAAAGGAUAAAAUAAUCAUACAAAGGAAAACAAAAUUCAAGACUUAAGAAAUAGUUGACUGAAGUUAAAUUUAAACAGGAGAAAAAGAUGACAUAAAAAUUAAAGAUUAAUUAAAUAUUAACAAACGGAAAGAAAUAAAAUAUCAAAUCAUCAAAAUAAAAAUAAGAUAUGUUAUUAAAAAGCAAAUAAAUCUAUCUUCCUUUGAGAAGAAUGAAAACAAGACAGCACAAUAUUUAUUUAUCAAAUAUAUAAAAACUAAUUUCAUAAAAGACAAAAUAUGCGCAGUAUUAAAACUAAUGUGUAUAAAAACGAAUUUAAAUAAUACAAAAUGUUUGCUGAAUAUUUGCCACUUUUUGAAUCGUUUGCACAUUGUUUUGACUUUUUGCACUCGGUUUUAACAACAUGCACAUCUUUUAUUCUCUAUCUACACAAGUUUAUAUCUAAAUAUGUUCGUACACUGUUGAGAAUUUUUGUAUAGUCUGUUGUUUUACAUUGUUGCUGUUUUUCUGCACCGAUUUCCAAAAAUGGGCAUUAAUUCCUGGUUCUGGUUCUGAUUCUGAUAAAGUUAUCUGAAUUUGAUGACAUAGGAACAAGAGACAAACUUCUGAAAUACUGAAUAAUAAACACAAAUCAAAACAUCACAUAUUUACAAAAUAAUUGUUAUAUGAUGGGGUAAACAUGAACAGGUAUCAAAUAUAAAAUAAAUGUUUUGCACAUCAACAAAAAACAUUUUUUUUAAAAUAUAGAAAUCUGAGACAAAAAGAAAACCUACUUUUAAGUAUUCAGAAUUUUCACACAAGAGGAGGAGGCGUUGUCAGGAGAGUCCCACCUGUGAUGACCUGCAUAGAGAAUGAACAGAGAGAGAGAGGGAGUGUCGGCAGGUAGAACAGGUUUGGGUGAGGUGGCUCACAGCGCCCCGAGAGACUCAGUGAAGCAGAGAGAGAGAGCUGAGUCAGAUUUGUUGUUUUGUUCAAGUAAAUCUUUAUUUUUUCUGCAGCUCAGAAAAAAACUGAAUUAAUUCCUGGCAGAAGAAGAAGCCAGAGGAGGUGGACUGUUUAAAGGAAAGAAAGAAAAGAAGAAGACGAAGGUGGACGCAUCUGUGAACGGACUGGCUGUUCUGCCCUGCCCUCCUGUGACAUCAUCAAUAUGUCAUCAAAUAUCAACAUCUCCUUGGAAAACCCGUAUGGUCAGGUGACUAUCCCUAGGGCCAAGCUCCGCCUAUCAGAAGAUGCAACAGUGAUAACCAACCCAGUGGCUCUGAACAGCGAGAACCCGUACGCUCAGAAGGGGUCUGACCCCCCACCGUACACGGUGAAGGAGGAUGGCGGUGAGGAGGAGGGGGGGCGGUGCCAAGCGUGUUGCUACCGCUGCCGGAGGAGGAAGUGAUGACGCUCUGGCAGGGGGACUGUGAUUGGCUCAUUAGAAGAUAUUCCGUUUCAGGGCUGAUCAUAUUUGCAAUUCCUCUAAUAGAUCACAUCUGCAACGUUAGAACCACCAAAACAAGUCCUUCCCAACAGACCACUCAGAACCACAGUUUUAGGGUACACCCAGUGCCUGACCAGAGACUGUGUAGCACCAGGAAAAUGAUUCUGAAUCCUUCAAUGUUCCUGAACACUAAACAAAGAAUCUAGAGACUAUGUAGAUCCCAUUGUGGAGAUUUCUGCAGACCUUGGAGACUCUGUACGGAAUUUAAUGAUGCUGACUCCUUCAAAGGCUGCAAGGACUUUAGAGAUCCUGAAAACUGUUAAUAACAUACUUGGGUCUGUAGAUCCUGAAUGUUCUGAAGAAAGGUAAAACCUGAAUAUGCUACAGAACGCAGACACUGACACUUUGAAAAACCUGGAGAUUUCUAAAAAGCCAGGAACUCACCCAGGAGGAGUUUUAGGACACCAAAGAUUUAAAAAACUUUGCAGUUGGACUUUGAGGAACACCAGGACUGUUUUUGUACUUCUGGUUUUGUUUAGAUUUUUAUUUCCUUCAGAAAGCUUCAAAUACAAUAUGGCUGCCUUUCUGUUGUUGCCAUGACGACUCCACCUGAAAGUUGAAAGUUUUCUGUUACAGCUUUAAAUAAUUUUAACAAAAAUAUAUUUUUAAUUUCAUUUAUCGGAUCCCAUUUAGUUCUGAAAAAUAUUUUUUUUAUGUUAGCUCAGCAGUAAGUUUUUACUUUGCUGAGCCGAUUUGUUCCCCAGUUGCAGAAGGAAAACAAACAGCUUCAUUUAAGUCAAAUAUUCCUAUCAAAAACAGCCAACAAAUGAGUGAUCACCCUACAAAGCUGGAAAAAUGGCUGUAAAACAAACCGUGAAUUAAAACGGUUUUAAUUGACGGUUUGUUUUACAGCCAUUUUUCAGAGAUUUGUUCAUUUUGUUGCUGCUGUUUUUGGUGAAAGGUUUGUGUUUUAUUUCUGGAUUCAGAAAAACAUGUUUUUCCAUAAAGUAUUUCUGUUUUCUGUGCAUGAAGGAGUUUUAGAAGUAUAAAUAUCUGAAGUUAUUGUAGAUGAUAACCCAAAUAAACCAAUAAUUUACA